rnacentral:rRNA from 1 species
GGGGUAAAUCAGAGUCUGACGGAGCACGCCGCGUGAGUGAUGAAGGCUUUCGGGUCGUAAAACUCUGUUGUUAGGGAAGAACAAGUGCUAGUUGAAUAAGCUGGCACCUUGACGGUACCUAACCAGAAAGCCACGGCUAACUACGUGCCAGCAGCCGCGGUAAUACGUAGGUGGCAAGCGUUAUCCGGAAUUAUUGGGCGUAAAGCGCGCGCAGGUGGUUUCUUAAGUCUGAUGUGAAAGCCCACGGCUCAACCGUGGAGGGUCAUUGGAAACUGGGAGACUUGAGUGCAGAAGAGGAAAGUGGAAUUCCAUGUGUAGCGGUGAAAUGCGUAGAGAUAUGGAGGAACACCAGUGGCGAAGGCGACUUUCUGGUCUGUAACUGACACUGAGGCGCGAAAGCGUGGGGAGCAAACAGGAUUAGAUACCCUGGUAGUCCACGCCGUAAACGAUGAGUGCUAAGUGUUAGAGGGUUUCCGCCCUUUAGUGCUGAAGUUAACGCAUUAAGCACUCCGCCUGGGGAGUACGGCCGCAAGGCUGAAACUCAAAGAAAAUUGACGGG